ACGGAGGAUCCAAGCGUUAUCCGGAAUCAUUGGGUUUAAAGGGUCCGUAGGUGGAUAAUUAAGUCAGAGGUGAAAGUUUGCAGCUCAACUGUAAAAUUGCCUUUGAUACUGGUUAUCUUGAAUCAUUAUGAAGUGGUUAGAAUAUGUAGUGUAGCGGUGAAAUGCAUAGAUAUUACAUAGAAUACCAAUUGCGAAGGCAGAUCACUAAUAAUGUAUUGACACUGAUGGACGAAAGCGUGGGGAGCGAACAGG
rnacentral:rRNA from 1 species